CGCCUGCACCGGCGAGCGGCGAGCGGCGACCGUAGCCUGGGCCCUGAGGAGAUGAGGGUGAGGCUCCACCGCCACUGGAUCUGAUCUGCCACCUUCCACCUGCGAGCGGUUUAGUGGAUGUUGUCAAAAUCAAUUCACCGAAGGUUCGUUUUUUUUUUAUUGAUGAUUUGCCGGUAGCGUAUAGUCCCUAUGUUAAUCUGUUUCCCAGCAUGCUUAUAGGAACAAUUGCUAAAUUGAACAAAGGUAAUAGGAACACCAAAACAAUAACUGGGUAUAGGUAAACUAGAAAAUUGCCAAAUUGGAUCUAUUUCUUGAAAGGAAAAAAAGGGAAAGUAACUUGAACCUAUAUUUUCAACCAGCAAAAUGAGUAGCAUUAAUUUAUUGUUAGCAUCAUAGUAAUCCCCUCUAGAUUCACAUGGAAAAUGCGAACAUAAGCAGCAUCUGGAUAUUUGUGAAGAUGGAAAAAUGACCUGAAUAAAACAAGCAAACAAAUAUGCAAAAGUCCUAGAAUAAGAAAGAAACAUGAUAUUGAUAUGUAAUAGGAACUAUAUAUCAUAAGUUUCCAUGACCUUUCAUUUUAACAUUUUGCUACAUGGGUCUCACUCCACAACAUCAACCAACCAGUUUCUGCCUCAAGGAUUUAGAUUCUUACCUAAAGAAGAAUCUACAAACCAUUGCCAGCAUUUGGCACCUCAGUUAAACGCCAGAGCAGCAUCUUAAACUCUUUUUUGUUUCAACAGACUCGUUAUAAUAUGAUUGGAUAGCAUGGAAUUUCCGUUUUUUUAUCACCGCAGGGCAUCCUGUCUCAGGUACUGGUCUUUCUGUUGCAGCAUACUUCGCUGUGGACUGAGCAUCGGUUGGAUCAACCCUCUUGCGGAACAGAACCUUGGGUCUAUUUGGGUGCUUCUUAGCUUCAUUUUCCCAAAUUUCUAUUGUUUCUAUAUUGACCAUAGAAUCAAGAGCAACUUCCUCAAGGUAAUCAUGGUACUCAAUCUUGAUUUCAGAAAGACCAACUAGAUCCUUGCAGAGCAAUUGGAGUGACAGGAGAUGUGGCAAAGCUCCUUUUUCAACUGUAGGGAGAUUGGGAUUUUGCACCACAAGGCAUAAGUGUCGCAUACGUGGGAAGUCACCAUUUUUUAUGAUAAAGCCCUGAAGGUCAGAUUCAACCAGUUUCAGAUAAAGCAAGUGGUGCAAUGUGCAAACGUUUGAUAGAUCCUCCUUAUUCAGAUUUGUUGAUGAAAGGCACAGCUCUGUGAGACCACACAGUGAUGUGAUGAACUGUGGAAACCGGCUCAACUCGCCCUGCAGUUUCAAGGAGCUGAGAU
rnacentral:lncRNA from 1 species